AUUGAACGCUGGCGGCAGGCCUAACACAUGCAAGUCGAACGAGUGGCGGACGGGUGAGUAAUGUCUGGGAAACUGCCCGACGGAGGGGGAUAACUACUGGAAACGGUAGCUAAUACCGCAUACCAUCGGAUGUGCCCAGACGGGCUUAGCUAGUAGGUGGGGUAUCGGCUCACCUAGGCGACGAUCCCUAGCUGGUCUGAGAGGAUGACCGGCCACACUGGAACUGAGACACGGUCCAGACUCCUACGGGAGGCAGCAGUAGGGAAUAUUGCGCAAUGGGCGAAAGCCUGAUCCAGCCAUGCCGCGUGUAUGAAGAAGGCCUUCGGGUUGUAAAGUACUUUCAGCGGGGAGGCGUUACCCGCAGAAGAAGCACCGGCUAACUCCGUGCCAGCAGCCGCGGUAAUUC
rnacentral:rRNA from 1 species